GACCUGCUCGGGGUAUCCUCCUAUGGCAAUAGGAAUCUCACUUUGUGACAUUGCCUGUCAUCAUUCUGAGUCUCCUGUCUCGUGUCCGAUCCAUCUGCUCUUGGAGCUCCACCUUGCACUGGACUCCCUGUCAAGAGGUAGUGUCCUCUAUACUGCUUCCCCUUCAUCACGACCCUAUUAUCAUGCGAAAUCUUUAGGAUUCCUCUAUUAGCUCUCCAUCUGUUGCUGCUUAAAUCCAAUCUACUGAGGAAAAUUAGAUUUCUCUUGAAGUUAGGUAUGUAUCGGACCUCAUCCAACUUCCUCACUGCUCCAUCAUAUGUCUCCAUGCUGACCAUCCCA
rnacentral:lncRNA from 1 species